UGUCGCAGACCAAUAAAACUGGAACAUGACCCCCAGUGUGGCUCUGACGGACAUGUGUACCCUAACAAGGACGCCAUGGAACUUGCAGAGUGUGUUAAUCGCGAUUACAUCACUACUGAAGCCCCUGAGACGUGCCCAGAUUUCCCAAGACCUGUGGAUUCACACACGCCCAGAUAUAGCUAAACAAACUGCUGUCGCAUCUUAUUGUUAUUCGCAUACGAUGGCAACUAAAUGGCCAUUUUGUCGAUCAAUAAAAGAAAAUCAAUGAUAUAG